CCUACAUAUAUUCACAUCGAUGUUUCAGACAGCUGUGGAUGCGGUAUUCGUUUAGAGUGAAAACUGAUCAGUUUCAAUACGUAAAAGCUUCAAUUUUAUUUAGCCGAAAUUAUCUCGCUCUUUCAAAUUCUAAUAUCAUUGAAGACAAAGCAUCAGGCCUUUCUUCGAUCAAAGCCAAAGCAUCAUCGUCCAAUUUUCUUUCCUCAACCAGGUGAAAAUGUCAUCUGGGAUGAAGACAAUUUCCAUGUCAAUGAUUUUCUUGACCUUCUUGGUGGCAUGUGAUUCGAAAAUCUAUGAAUUAACUUUUAAAAGAGCACACGCUCGUCCAAGUCACAUAAC